AAGGAGUCUAACAUAUCUGCGAGUAUUUGGGUGUCAAACCCGAGUGCGCAAUGAAAGUGAACGUAGGAGCGAUCCGCAAGGUGCACCUUCGACCGAUCUGGAUCUUUUGUGAUGGAUUUGAGUAAGAGCAUAUAUGCUGGGACCCGAAAGAUGGUGAACUAUGCCUGAAUAGGGCGAAGCCAGAGGAAACUCUGGUGGAGGCUCGUAGCGAUUCUGACGUGCAAAUCGAUCGUCAAAUUUGGGUAUAGGGGCGAAAGACUAAUCGAACCAUCUAGUAGCUGGUUCCUGC
rnacentral:misc_RNA from 1 species